rnacentral:tRNA from 1 species
UGGAGAUAAGCGGACUCGAACCGCUGACAUCCGCCACAGGAGAGCGGAGCUCUACCAACUGAGCUAUAUCCCC